rnacentral:rRNA from 1 species
CCUACGGGAGGCAGCAGUGAGGAAUAUUGGUCAAUGGGAGGAAUCCUGAACCAGCCAUGCCGCGUGAAGGACGACUGCUCUACGGGUUGUAAACUUCUUUUGUACAGGGAUAAAAUGCCGUACGUGUGCGGUUUUGAAAGUACUGUACGAAUAAGGAUCGGCUAACUCCGUGCCAGCAGCCGCGGUAAUACGGAGGAUCCGAGCGUUAUCCGGAUUCAUUGGGUUUAAAGGGUGCGUAGAUUGUUUUAUAAGUUAGCUGUGAAAGUUCGAGGCUCAACAUUGGGGUUGCAGCUAAUACUGGCAGACUAGAGUACAGAUGAAGUAGGCGGAAUGUGUGGUGUAGCGGUGAAAUGCAUAGAUAUUACAAAGAACACCGAUUGCGAAGGCAGCUUGCUAGGCCGGCUCUGACACUGAUGCACGAAAGCGUGGGGAUCGAACAGGAUUAGAUACCCCAGUAGUC